UUGAUGUCAUAUGCAAUAAAUUGCCAA
rnacentral:piRNA from 1 species